UAUUCAUUCACACGUGAACACUUGUUUGUUUAUUAACAUCUUAGUGUCUUAACUUGGAGCCUGGUUUUCACUGGAUGCCACAUAUUGUUUUUCCUUAUAAUUAAUUUAAUUGCCUUUGUUACUUUUUAAAUAUUUUUCUUUCUUUGUAUAUCUCCUGUUAUAACAUAUUUUAAGCUAACAUCGAAACUAUGGAAAAUGACAGGUUCUUAAAUUUAAAGAGGCAAAGUUGCUAGUACUCCAUAUUUUUCUUUUUGAUUCAUAUUUGUUUUGUGAACAUAAUUUAACCCUGUUCGUUUUUAGGUGUAUUUAUAAACUAAUAUUUACUAAUUUCCCCUGCCCGUGUUAAAAAAAGACGAUAAAAAAAUAAAAAUAAAAAAUCAACAUACAGUAGUUAAGGUUCCAGCGGAAAUCGAAAAAAUUACAAAUGGCGCCAGGAAGUGAUGUUGGCCAACCGGAGCGCCAUGUUUGAAACGGCCAGCUUCCCUUCCAAACCGACAGACCGCAGCCUACAAUAUGAAUAUGGGUUACACAGGGAUUGUGGAGAUGCUAAGCGUCCACCGAAACUCUAUCUGAGGAGUACAUUUGGCCUACAUUUUGAGGCAUCGAUGACGGCAACAUGGUACAGUCAGCGGCUCUGAGAGAUUACACCGAAUGAAGGAGUGACACGCGGGCAGAAACAAUAGUAAAGACCCAGUGAUGAGUGCAGCUGAUGAAGGACCAGCCGAUGAUGGAGCCGUAGGAGAAGCACGUCUUGUUUCUCGUGUCAUGACGGCCCUUCAGACCAGCACGCUCCACUGCGCGAUGGUUUCUGUGAAAACUGCGGCAGGCGACCGCUCCACAUGAUCCUUGUUUAUUCGACCACGCCUUUUUUGAUGGGAGUCAGUGCUCUCAUGUGUAACCCCUGAGAGAGAAGUAAUCAUUGGGAGUCCAAGAUGAAGAGAGAUGAAUUUUCUGUAACUGCUCGUUCGCUGGAGCUCAGCUGCGGUGCAUUAUUCCGGUCAUCUAUCCCCUUAAGGCUGUGGGCUGCAGGAGAGUGAUCGUCUGAAAAGCAGUGGAGCGGAAAAAGAUGUAGGGGCAUCCAAAUAUAUCCCCUAUACUUGCAAACGUAAUAACGUUACAAUUUUGGUAACGAAAAGACACAAAAGACACAGUGAAAAUUUAAAAAAAUAUUAGCACAUACUGAAACCGUGUUGGAAAAAGAGUGGGAAGAUAGGCCUGUGACGAUAACAAAUCUGGUUGGAUGAUAUAUUGUCCCACAAAUAUAUCAUAAAUAUGCAAG